AGCAGCCGCGGUAAUUCCAGCUCCAAUAGCGUAUAUUAAAGUUGUUGCAAUUAAAAAGCUCGUAGUUGAAUUUCGGGGUCAGCAGGUUGGUCGUGCCUCUGGUAUGCACUGGUUUCGCUGAUUCCUCCUUUCUGAAGAACUGUAAUGUCAUUAAUUUGGUGUUGCAGGGAAACAGGACUGUCACUUUGAAAAAAUUAGAGUGUUUAAAGCAGGCUAACGCUUGAAUACAUUAGCAUGGAAUAAUGAAAUAGGACGUUUGAUCCUAUUUUGUUGGUUUCUAGGAUUGACGUAAUGAUUAAUAGGGAUAGUUGGGGGCAUUAGUAUUCAAUUGUCAGAGGUGAAAUUCUUGGAUUUAUUGAAGACUAACUACUGCGAAAGCAUUUGCCAAGGAUGUUUUCAUUAAUCAAGAACGAAAGUUAGGGGAUCGAAGACGAUCAGAUACCGUCGUAGUCUUAACCAUAAACUAUGCCGACUAGGGAUCGGAUGAUGUUAAUUUUUUAAUGACUCA
rnacentral:rRNA from 1 species